AUUGAACGCUGGCGGCAGGCUUAACACAUGCAAGUCGAGCGGGGGAAGGUAGCUUGCUACUGGACCUAGCGGCGGACGGGUGAGUAAUGCUUAGGAAUCUGCCUAUUAGUGGGGGACGACAUCUCGAAAGGGAUGCUAAUACCGCAUACGUCCUACGGGAGAAAGCAGGGGAUCUUCAGACCUUGCGCUAAUAGAUGAGCCUAAGUCGGAUUAGCUAGUUGGUGGGGUAAAGGCCUACCAAGGCGACGAUCUGUAGCGGGUCUGAGAGGAUGAUCCGCCACACUGGGACUGGGACACGGCCCAGACUGCUACGGGAGGCAGCAGUGGGGAAUAUUGGACAAUAGGGGGAACCCUGAUCCAGCCAUGCCGCGUGUGUGAAGAAGGCCUUAUGGUUGUAAAGCACUUUAAGCGAGGAGGAGGCUACUUUAGUUAAUACCUAGAGAUAGUGGACGUUACUCGCAGAAUAAGCACCGGCUAACUCUGUGCCAGCCGCCGCCGUAA
rnacentral:rRNA from 1 species